rnacentral:tRNA from 1 species
UCCCUGGUGGCUCAGAGGUUAAAGCGUCUGCCUUCAAUGCGGGAGACCCGGGUUUGAUCCCUGGAUUGGGAA